UGAGAGGAUCCAAAGCUUAUCUGCAAACAGU
rnacentral:piRNA from 1 species